CCGACCUUCCUGAUGACGAGCGGCAAGGUCGCGUGAUUGGAUAAUCAUGAACUUACGGACGUCCGGUCUAUUGUUGCUCGGCCCUCCUGGUGACGAACAACAAGGUCGCGUGAUUGGAUAAUCAUCGUUAUGCGGACGUCCAGUCUGUUCGCUGCCCGGUCCCUACUGGUACAGUUGUAAAUAAAAUCCCCUGCUUCACAGAUAAAGACUACGAAACAAAAGAUAAAGAAUCAGAACACAACGUCAAUUCUAUUAAAAAUAGCAACCUGAGUUAAUGAACCACAACAUAACAAAGAAAAACCUAGACAAGAUAGAUAACGACAACCCGACCUACUGAAUAACAAUAUACGAACCAAAAAUAACUUGGACAACAAACACAACAAAAAUGUGAAAAAAUAAAAAGCAAACAAAAUAAACUUCCUUUCCAAAAUGCUAAUAGCACUAACCACAAAAUGGUGGCCUGAUGCAACCACGGGACUGGAAGAUGUCAUUCUACGCAGUGAAACAAUGGUAUGGUUCAUCAGGCUACACGCAGUCGGAGGGACAAGAGCAGGGACGAGAUGACUGAGUGAAGGUGAGGGACGAACAAGAGGCUUGCGUACGAGAAGGAGAUAGAGGAAAGAGAUCACUGAAAAUCGAACAUGAUUGUGGUUUCAAAUGGGGUAACCAAAACCCUUUUCGCAUUUCAAAUAAACGUAUGCACCACUCUCCCAAUUUCACCCUGGCUGAACAACACAAAAAUGAAAAUAAGAUUCACUUCUCUGAUUUAAUAAAAUCUUUUCAUUAGUACAUUUUCAUUGCCAUAUUCAAUCCAAACUUUAUUAUAUAAG
rnacentral:sRNA from 1 species